AUUGAACGCUGGCGGCAUGCCUUACACAUGCAAGUCGAACGGCAGCACGGGAGCAAUCCUGGUGGCGAGUGGCGAACGGGUGAGUAAAGUAUCGGAACGUGCCCAGUCGUGGGGGAUAACGUAGCGAAAGUUACGCUAAUACCGCAUACGAUCUAUGGAUGAAAGCGGGGGAUCGCAAGACCUCGCGCGAUUGGAGCGGCCGAUAUCAGAUUAGGUAGUUGGUGGGGUAAAGGCUCACCAAGCCGACGAUCUGUAGCUGGUCUGAGAGGACGACCAGCCACACUGGGACUGAGACACGGCCCAGACUCCUACGGGAGGCAGCAGUGGGGAAUUUUGGACAAUGGGCGAAAGCCUGAUCCAGCCAUGCCGCGUGCAGGAUGAGGGCCUUCGGGUUGUAAACUGCUUUUGUACGGAACGAAAAGGUUUGGGCUAAUAAGCUGAGCUCAUGACGGUACCGUAAGAAUAAGCACCGGCUAAUUACGUGCCAGCCGCCGCGGUAA
rnacentral:rRNA from 1 species